UACGGAGGAUGCAAGCGUUAUCCGGAAUGAUUGGGCGUAAAGCGUCCGCAGGUGGCUAUGUAAGUCUGCUGUUAAAGAGUGAGGCUCAACCUCAUAAGAGCAGUGGAAACUACAUGGCUAGAGUGCGUUCGGGGCAGAGGGAAUUCCUGGUGUAGCGGUGAAAUGCGUAGAUAUCAGGAAGAACCCCGGUGGCGAAAGCGCUCUGCUAGGCCGCAACUGACACUGAGGGACGAAAGCUAGGGGAGCGAAUGGG
rnacentral:rRNA from 1 species